GACGAACCGUGCGAACGUUGUUCGGAUUCACUGGGCUUAAAGGGCGCGUAGGCGGAUUGUCAAGUCAGGGGUGAAAGCCUCCAGCUCAACUGGAGAAGUGCCUUUGAUACUGAUGAUCUCGAGGGAGGUAGGGGCAUGUGGAACUUCCGGUGGAGCGGUGAAAUGCGUAGAUAUCGGAAGGAACGCCGGUGGCGAAAGCGACGUGCUGGAUCUCUUCUGACGCUGAGGCGCGAAAGCGUGGGGAGCAAACAGG
rnacentral:rRNA from 1 species